rnacentral:rRNA from 1 species
CAUGGUCUUAGCUUGCUAAGGCCGAUGGCGACCGGCGCACGGGUGAGUAACACGUAUCCAACCUGCCGUCUACUCUUGGACAGCCUUCUGAAAGGAAGAUUAAUACAAGAUGGCAUCAUGAGUCCACAUGUUCACAUGAUUAAAGGUAUUCCGGUAGACGAUGGGGAUGCGUUCCAUUAGAUAGUAGGCAGGGUAACGGCCCACCUAGUCUUCGAUGGAUAGGGGUUCUGAGAGGAAGGUCCCCCACAUUGGAACUGAGACACGGUCCAAACUCCUACGGGAGGCAGCAGUGAGGAAUAUUGGUCAAUGGGCGAGAGCCUGAACCAGCCAAGUAGCGUGAAGGAUGACUGCCCUAUGGGUUGUAAACUUCUUUUAUAAAGGAAUAAAGUCGGGUAUGCAUACCCGUUUGCAUGUACUUUAUGAAUAAGGAUCGGCUAACUCCGUGCCAGCAGCCGCGGUAAUACGGAGGAUCCGAGCGUUAUCCGGAUUUAUUGGGUUUAAAGGGAGCGUAGAUGGAUGUUUAAGUCAGUUGUGAAAGUUUGCGGCUCAACCGUAAAAUUGCAGUUGAUACUGGAUAUCUUGAGUGCAGUUGAGGCAGGCGGAAUUCGUGGUGUAGCGGUGAAAUGCUUAGAUAUCACGAAGAACUCCGAUUGCGAAGGCAGCCUGCUAAGCUGCA